GACGGAGGUGGGCGUAAAGGUGAUCAUGGGUUGGGCUACCCGGCCCGGCCCGAUGGCCUGCAGAAAAAAUGGGAGGGUUUGGGUAAAAAUAUAGGCCCGAAAUAUAGGUUUGGGCAAAAAAUAGGGCCCGUUUAGAAAAUGGGCUUUGCCUUGGGUAAAAUAUUUUUGGCCCAAGCCCAACCUAGCCUGGCCCAGCCCGAUUUAUAUAUUAAUUUAAUAUAUAUUUUUAUUUUAAAAAUAUACUACUUUUUGUAACUUUAUUUAAUUUUUUUUAACUUUUGUUUCACUUCCAAGUAUCCAAAAUCCCUAACUCAGACGUGCGGCCUCCUCCCUUUUUUUCCCAAUUCCAAAAUCAAGGUUCACCUCCACCGAUCCACCUUCGGUCCUCCAUUAGAGGUUAGAGUAGUCGUAUUUAAGGUAAAUGAAGCUCUAUUUCAAACUUAUUUAUAUAAACUUAUCAGAGGUUCGGGCCCUCGCCCUGAGAAAACUGGAGACAUUGCAGACAUGCCCUUUUUCUAAUGAACUUUUAAUAAAAGUAGGGAUUUAUAGCUAAUUCUUAGGCUAUCCCUUCGGGGAUGUAGCAUAGUCCCCCUAGUCCGAAAUCGUAUCUAUACUCUGUCUUUAACCUUCGUUCGAGCGAUGGAAAGAGUCUUUACGCAGGACUGGUAUUAUAAGUUUUCUUCCUUCUCUGAUAUCUUACUAUAGAAGGCUCGAAGAGCUAUGGUUGAAAAGAAGAGUUGGAAUUCACUCGAUUAUUAGGAGCCAUUGUUAGAAUGAAACAUUAUGCCACUGUUGUUUUUAUGUGUAGCUAGAUGGAAUUAUUAGCAGUUCCCCAUAAUGUUUAUUAUUUGAGCAUCUUGAUUAAUUGCUUUUGUCAAUUAGGUCAUAUUGAUUUUGGGUUUUCUGUUUUGGGGAAAAUGCUGAAGUUAAGGGUUGAGCCUAGUGUUGUAACUUUGUCCACUUUUAUUAAUGGGUUUUGUAGGCAAAGUAAGAUUUCUCAGGCUGUGAAAUUGUUUGAUGAAAUGGUUGAAAAAGGUUAUCAACUUAAUUUAAUUGUUUACGGUACAAUACUUAAUGGGUUGAGUAAAACCGGGUCCGGGAAUACUGAUCGAGCUGUUAAGUUUCUAAUAAUGAUGGAAGAAAGAGGUUUUGAACCCAAUAUUGUAGCAUAUAACACUGUCAUUGACUGCCUUUGUAAGAAGGGAUCACUAAAUGAGGCUCUUGAUCUCUUCUCUCAUGUGAAGGUUAAGGGCAUUAGACCAAAUACCGUUACUUACAAUUGCUUAAUUCAUGCUAUGUGUAAUUCGGGCCAGUAGAGGGAGGCAACAAGGUUUUUGAAUAAUUAAGCAGCAAACCGUUUGUUUAUAUGUUUAUAUCUGGAAAUGAAGUUCUCAAAAUUUUGAAAUUGCAUGGGAUUCAAGUUGGAUGAAUUUAUUAUAAUGUUUACUGAGAUCACAAGCUUAGUUUCUUCAUUUAAUCUCAUCUUUUUUGUUUUUGCUUUGUUUUAUUGCAGAAAUAAGCGACAUUGAAAUCGAUUUGGCUUACUUUAGCUUCCUUUCCCGUAAGCUUUCAUUUACAUUUUCUUUUUAGAAUUUAAUUUAAUUUAAUUUGAUUUUCUUUUAUUUUACUUUGUACAACAUUUGCUUUUAUUAUAAUGCAGUUUGAAUUUCAUUCAAUGUAAAGAAGUCUGUCUAUGUGUUCUUAGCAGAUGAAUGAUCAUAGAAACAUUUGUUUUCUGAUUAAAAUUGAUUGAUUUAUUUUUUAUAGAGCAUGUACUUUGCAUUUAAUUGAAGUAUGAAAUUAGCCCUAAAAAUGAGCUGUUAAACUUUAAAAAUCGAAUUAAAAUAAUCAUUUUAUGUUCCAC
rnacentral:lncRNA from 1 species